CCUACGGGCGGCAGCAGUAGGGAAUCUUUCACAAUGGGCGAAAGCCUGAUGGAGCAACGCCGCGUGCAGGAUGAAGGCCUUAGGGUUGUAAACUGCUUUUAUAAGCGAGAAAUAUGAUGGUAACUUAUGAAUAAGGAUCGGCUAACUACGUGCCAGCAGCCGCGGUCAUACGUAGGAUCCGAGCAUUAUCCGGAGUGACUGGGUGUAAAGAGUUGCGUAGGUGGCAUAAUAAGUAGCUAGUGAAAUCUGGUGGCUCAACCAUUCAGACUAUUAGCUAAACUGUUAAGCUCGAGACCGUUAGGGGUAACUGGAAUUUCUAGUGUAGGAGUGAAAUCCGUAGAUAUUAGAAGGAACACCAAUAGCGUAGGCAGGUUGCUGGGACGGUUCUGACACUAAGGCACGAAAGCGUAGGGAGCAAACGGGAUUAGAUACCCCUGUAGUC
rnacentral:rRNA from 1 species